rnacentral:rRNA from 1 species
AUUGAACGCUGGCGGCAUGCCUUACACAUGCAAGUCGAACGGCAGCACGGGUGCUUGCACCUGGUGGCGAGUGGCGAACGGGUGAGUAAUACAUCGGAACAUGUCCUGUAGUGGGGGAUAGCCCAGCGAAAGCCGGAUUAAUACCGCAUACGAUCUACGGAUGAAAGCGGGGGACCUUCGGGCCUCGCGCUAUAGGGUUGGCCGAUGGCUGAUUAGCUAGUUGGUGGGGUAAAGGCCUACCAAGGCGACGAUCAGUAGCCGGUCUGAGAGGACGACCAGCCACACGGGGACUGAGAAACGGCCCAGACUCUUACGGGAGGCCGCGGUGGGGAAUUUUGGACAAUGGGGGAAUGCCUGAUCCAGCAAUACCGCGUGUGUGAAGAAGGCCUUCGGGUUGGUAAGCAAUUUUGUCCGGAAAGAAAUCCAUCGCCCUAAUACGGGCGGGGGAUGACGGUACCGGAAGAAUAAGCACCGGCUAACUACGUG